AGGUCAUUUCAAAGAGAGCUUAUAGGACCAAAACCAGGACUCUUAAUACUGUGGCCUAAGAUUGAAGUUAUCCAUAGGAUGUAAUAGACACUCAAUAGUCCUAUGUUUUCCUGAGGAGAUGAAAGA
ensembl:snoRNA small nucleolar RNA SNORA25